UGGGGGCUGGGUGAGAACUGGAGUGCAGUAUCUGGAAAUCCAAGAACUUAUUUUUAAAAAAUUUUUUUAAAAAAAAAUUAUUAUUAUUUUUAAUGGUACUGGGGAUUGAACCCAGGGGUGCUUAACCACUGAGCGACAUCCCCAGCCCUUUUUAUAUUUUAUUUAGAGACAAGAGUCUUGCUAAGUUGCUUAGGUCCUUCUUCUUAGGUUGCUGAGGCUGGCGUUCAACUUGAAUCCUCCUGCCUCAGCCUCCUGAGCUACUGGGAUUACAGGUGUGCACCACCACACCCGUAUAGUCUCUCUUUAAUUUUUAAAUAUUGACAAUAAGUUGAAUAUUUGGAAAAAGUGAAAGCCAACCCUGCCUUCCCCUCCCCAAAUGUGUGCUGGCCUUGUGGACAGUCAGUUUUUGCCCCUGUCAGGGUCACUGCCCUCCUGGAGGUGAAGGUUAGUGGGAGAGAGAUAAAAUAAACAAAAACAUAGUGACAAAUUGUGAGAGGUGCCCCAAAGGGUAAAUGGGGUGAUGUGACAGAGUGACAGGGCCAGGUUUCUUCUUCAGAAGGCGUGAUCAGAGAAAGUCCUGUGAGGAGGAGACCUCUGAACUAGCACUUUUGUACCAGGGGUUCACUUGAUGCUUUGACUAUAUCCCUUGUGGCUUUGAAAAUUACAUGUUUUCUUUUUCCCAACCUUCUUCUCCCUGACCUUCUCCUCCCUGAUCUUCUUUUCCCUAACCUUCUCCUCCCUGAUCUUAUUCUUCCUGAUUUAUCCUUUCUAAUCUCAUUUUAAAAGAAAAUAAAAUAAAAAAUAAAAAUAAAUAAAUCUCAUUUUCUCUUUAAAAC
rnacentral:lncRNA from 1 species